rnacentral:rRNA from 1 species
UACGUAGGGUGCGAGCGUUAAUCGGAAUCACUGGGCGUAAAGCGCACGUAGGCGGAUGUGUCAGUCAGGGGUGAAAUCCCGGAGCUCAACUUCGGAACUGCCUUUGAUACAGCACGUCUUGAGUCCGAUAGAGGUGGGUGGAAUUCCUAGUGUAGAGGUGAAAUUCGUAGAUAUUAGGAAGAACACCGGUGGCGAAGGCGGCUCACUGGCUCGUAUCUGACGCUCAGGCGCGACAGCGUGGGGAUCAAACAGG